rnacentral:rRNA from 1 species
UACGAGGGGGGCAAGCGUUGUUCGGAAUUAUUGGGCGUAAAGGGUGCGUAGGCGGUUUGAUAAGUCUGAUGUGAAAUCUCUGGGCUCAACCCAGAGUCUGCAUCGGAAACUGUCGGGCUUGAGUAUGGGAGAGGUGAGUGGAAUUUCCGGUGUAGCGGUGAAAUGCGUAGAUAUCGGAAGGAACACCUGUGGCGAAAGCGGCUCACUGGACCAUUACUGACGCUGAGGCACGAAAGCUAGGGGAGCAAACAGG